rnacentral:rRNA from 1 species
CCUACGGGUGGCAGCAGUGAGGAAUAUUGGUCAAUGGACGAGAGUCUGAACCAGCCAAGUAGCGUGAAGGAUGACUGCCCUAUGGGUUGUAAACUUCUUUUAUAUGGGAAUAAAAUGUUCCACGUGUGGGAUUUUGUAUGUACCAUAUGAUUAAGGAUCGGCUAAUUCCGUGCCAGCAGCCGCGGUAAGACGGAGGAUCCGAGCGUUAUCCGGAUUUAUUGGGUUUAAAGGGAGCGUAGGUGGAUUGUUAAGUCAGUUGUGAAAGUUUGCGGCUCAACCGUAAAAUUGCAGUUGAAACUGGCAGUCUUGAGUACAGUAGAGGUGGGCGGAAUUCGUGGUGUAGCGGUGAAAUGCUUAGAUAUCACGAAGAACUCCGAUUGCGAAGGCAGUUCACUGGACUGCAACUGACACUGAGGCUCGAAAGUGUGGGUAUCAAACAGGAUUAGAUACCCCUGUAGUC